CAGCCGCCGCGGGAACACGAAGGGUGCAAGCGUUAAUCGGAAUUACUGGGCGUAAAGCGCGUGUAGGCGGCCUGGGGCGUCCCAUGUGAUAGGCCACGGCUCAACCGUGGAGGAGCGUGGGAUACGCUCAGGCUAGAGGGUGGGAGAGGGUGGUGGAAUUCCCGGAGUAGCGGUGAAAUGCGCAGAUACCGGGAGGAACGCCGAUGGCGAAGGCAGCCACCUGGUCCACUUCUGACGCUGAGGCGCGAAAGCGUGGGGAGCAAACCGGAUUAGAUACCCCAGUAGUCCCUGUCUCUUAUAC
rnacentral:rRNA from 1 species